CCUACGGGAGGCAGCAGUGGGGAAUAUUGGGCAAUGGGCGAAAGCCUGACCCAGCAACGCCGCGUGAAGGAAGAAGGCUUUCGGGUUGUAAACUUCUUUUGACAGGGAAGAGCAGAAGACGGUACCUGUCGAAUAAGCCACGGCUAACUACGUGCCAGCAGCCGCGGUAAUACGUAGGUGGCAAGCGUUGUCCGGAUUUACUGGGUGUAAAGGGCGUGUAGCCGGGCUGACAAGUCAGAUGUGAAAUCCGGGGGCUCAACCCCCGAACUGCGUGGCUGGAGUGCAGGAGGGGCAGGCGGAAUUCCUGGUGUAGCGGUGAAAUGCGUAGAUAUCAGGAGGAACACCGGUGGCGAAGGCGGCCUGCUGGACUGCAACUGACGUUGAGGCCCGAAAGCGUGGGGAGCAAACAGGAUUAGAUACCCUUGUAGUC
rnacentral:rRNA from 1 species